CUUCCACAAUUCCUCAUAGGCAUUUGGAGCUGCCACACUGGUGACAGAAGUACGUUCGAAUGGCCAGAUGCGGUGAACCAGUACUAUCUGGGUAUGGAGAGCCGUUACAUGCCAUGUUGGAAGGAUUUGAACUUCAUAUACUUCGUCCUGUACUUCGAUCAUCAACAACAUUGGGUUGCUGUUGAGGUAGAUAUUGAUAUGUGGCAGAUUCGGGUGUACGAUAAUGAUUUAUCAUGCACCACCGAAGCACAGUUUGAUGCCAUCAUGCUACCUUGACCGAGUUGUUUCCACAUCUGCUGAGGUCUACUGGCUAUUAUGAUCAAGUCAACAACAACAUUCUGAAUGUGGACUUAGGGGACAGUAGCCAACUCAAAGCAAUGCAUGCUAGACGCAUGCCAAGUGAGGUGGUUCCCCAAAGUAAAACAAGUGGUGAUUGCGGGGUGUAUGCACUUGAGUACAUCGAACACCUCAUGCUGAAUCGGUCCUUGGACAACAUUACAGACGAUAGCAUGAGAAUGUUCAGAGAUCGGUGGUGUGUAGACUUGUUUUAUCAGAACUUAACUUGGUAAAAUAUAAUUUAAAAGGGUUGUAAAUUUUUUGUAUUAUAGACGAUAGUUGUUUUUAGUACUGUACAGUUUUUAUAUA